UUGCAGCCAUAUCAUGUUGAAACACUCGUUCUCGUACAAUCACCGAAGUUAAGCAAUGUCGAGCCUGGUCAAUACCUAGAUGGGUGACCGCUUGAGAAUGUCAGGUGUUGUAAG